rnacentral:misc_RNA from 1 species
CUGUCUGUCACGACUCACCCCGUCAUGAUCCUACCGUAGCCUAUGGUUAGGGCUAACUACUUCUGGUGUCUCCACUGCGGGCGUGUGUACAAGACCCGGGGAACGGUAUUGGCCAGACAUGUUGUCCGCGAUUACAGCGAUUCCUGACUCACGCAGCCGAGUUGCAGACCGCGAUCUGACUACGGCUCUCUUGGGAGGCUUGCGGGCCGGUCUUCAUCCCGACAUUGUAUGACGUGUACCCUGACGAUAAUAAUGAGGACUUGACGCUAAUAAUACUGGCAAGUCUAUUAUGUCUUGUAGCAACUAAUGGCCAGGCUGUUGUUGCGGGAUUUAACUCAAUGAAUUAUGUAACCUGGUUUCAGCGAAGCACUCCUGUUCUUUCGGGAUUCCAUGGAUAGAUGUUGCAUCGAAUUCUUUUUGAGUUUUAAUCUUAGACCGUAGUCGAUGUCAUCUCACGCGUUGCGCUAGCCAUGCUGAUCCCAACAGCUAAAGUUGACAUCGUUUAGGCGUGGACAGGGUCUAAUCCUGUUUGUUUCCCACGCCUCAUGAGCUGUCAGUGUUGUCCCAGUGAGCGCUGCCUUUCGCCAUUUUCUCCGCAUCCAUUUAUUUCCUUCACUGCUACAGCGGAAUUCCACUUUCUGACACACUCUAGCUCGGUAGUUAAAAAUGCAGUUCCAAAGUUACUCUGGGAUUUCACCUUCUUUCCGCUUGCUGACAACGCUUGCACCCUUACGUAUAUAGGCGAUGCUGGCACGUAGUUACCGGUGCUUAUUCUGCAGGUACCGUCAGUUGCACGGGAUAAUACCCCGUGCAACUGAUUUUAUAACGCAGAAUAAGCACCGGCUAACUACGUGCCAGCAGCCGCGGUAAUACGUAGGGUGCAAGCGUUAAUCGGAAUUACUGGGCGUAAAGCGUGCGCAGGCGGUUCGGAAAGAAAGAUGUGAAAUCCCAGAGCUUAACUUUGGAACUGCAUUUUUAACUACCGAGCUAGAGUGUGUCAGAGGAGGUGGAAUUCCGCGUGUAGCAGUGAAAUGCGUAGAUAUGCGGAGGAACACCGAUGGCGAAGGCAGCCUCCUGGGAUAACACUGACGCUCAUGCACGAAAGCGUGGGGAGCAAACAGGAUUAGAUACCCUGGUAGUCCACGCCCUAAACGAUGUCAACUAGCUGUUGGGGCCUUCGGGCCUGGUAGCGCAGCUAACGCGGUGAAGUUGACCGCCUGGGGAGUACGGUCGCAAGAUUAAAACUCAAAGGAAUUGACGGGGACCCGCAAUAGCGGUGGAUGAUGUGGAUUAAUUCGAUGCAACGCGAAAACCUUACCUACCCUUGAUAUGUCUGGAAUCCCGAAGAGAUUUGGGAGUGCUCGCAAGAGAACCGAACACAGGUGCUGCAUGGCUGUCGUCAGCUCGUGUCGUGAGAUGUUGGGUUAAGUCCCGCAACGAGCGCAACUCCUUGUCAUUAGUUGCUACGAAAGGGCACUCUAUCGAGAUUGCCGGUGACAAACUGGAGGAAGGUGGGGAUGACGUCAAGUCCUCUUUCAUGGCCCUUAGGUAGGGCUUCACACGUCAUACAAUGGUCGGGACAGAGGGUCGCCAACCCGCGAGGGGAGCCAAUCCCAGAAACCCGAUCGUAGUCCGGAUCGCAGUCUGCAACUCGACUGCGUGAAGUCGGAAUCGCUAGUAAUCGCGGAUCAGCAUGUCGCGGUGAAUACGUUCCUGGUCUUGUACACACCGCCCGUCACACCAUGGGAGUGGGUUUUACCAGAAGUAGUUAGCCUAACCGUAAGGAGGAAGCGAUUACCACGGUAGGAUUCAUGACUGGGGUGAAGUCGUAACAAGGUAG